CAGGCUUUUUUAAGAACAGAGAGGGCUGCAGCGCGUUUCAAAAUGGUUCCUUUCUUCCUGGACCUGCCAGAAGCGGAGAUUUUUCAUGGAUACUCCCAGGGAGAACCUGGCCGAACCUUGGAGGAAGUAGUGGCUGUGCAAAUACAUCUUAUAUUAAACUACCAUCUGUACAUAUGAAAUGGAAGUCAGAUAAGCAUGGGAUAAAAGUAAAAAAAUAUUAAAAACGUUAAAACUUACAUACCAACACUGAUGAAAGAAAUACUCUUUUCUCCUUUGGGCCGCUUACCUACAAUGAACACACAAUGAACACACUUGGAGCCCACGGUGUUAACAGUAGAGAGACUGCAGUUAUCCUGGCUUUGGUUUCAUUCAGCCCUUUCUAAUUGGAGCCCCAGGCUUGGAUCUGUAAGAAACCACAUCAUGUGCAACACUGCUCUGAUAGAUAAAUAAGUUGGAAAAAACCGAAAACAAGAAAGGUAAAGUGCGAUUUUAGGAGGCAGGCUGAGAGGGUAUGACAUCCAAUCGCCUGAAGCUCCUCGCUGUGAUGAAGGCUGUGAAGAGGUGAUAAUGUACCAUGUUCUUCGUGGCAGACAGAUUAUGACAGGUGCUUCCUAGAGGCCAGGAGGUAGAUUUAAAAUUAAAUGGCAAAUAGUUACUACCAGUAUGAAAGUAGCGUUCACUGCAGCUCUCUGUACAGAGUGUUGAUAAUACAUGUACCUCCGGUCUGGUGUUCUGAGAGGCACUGAAGUGGGGGAAAAAAAAUUUCAGUGUGAGCAGGUAGGCAAAUGCUAUGAACCAACAGCUUAAAACUGGGAAGGAGCAGCAAGACGAACCAGUGCACAAAAAAAUAUCCUCAGGGAAUCUAGGUCAGUGCAGAGAUAAAAUUUAGAAUCAGAGGGCCUCUGGAAACAGGUUAUGAUAUCAUUGUUUAUAGCAUAGAUGACAGUUGUACAAAUAUAGCCUAGUUUGUGCUCAAAUUAUUUUAAGGAUUUGGACACUCUUUUUAAAUCUCUCUACAGAGUUAUUUUACUACAAGAAAUUUUGUACUUCUGUGAAGUUCACAGUCUUUUCUGGCCUCCCUGCUGAUUGUAGGUGUUGGGCAUGUCUAACAUUAGUACAUCGAGUUGUAAUAAAAAAUGCAUGAGAACACUGGCUGUCAGAACAAGUAAUUUGAAAAUGUAUCCAUACCCUCUUUGUACACAUGAAUUGAUUUGGAGGAAGGAUUAACUACAUGCUGUUUGUUAGCCUUUAGCUUGUUGCUAGUCAAUGAGCAAGGUGACAAAAAUGAUAGUUUUUUGCAUUUUUGAGUGAUUCCUCUAAGAGUCAAUGGAAAAUACAGAAUUUUAAAAAGUCAUUAUUUUCAAAAGUGUUGAUGAAAAAAACUAAAACUUUAGCAAGUGUACUCAUCAGGUAGUGGUGACAUAUACUGUAGUUUAUGACCUUUAGUUUUAAAGUAAUUGUUUGAAUCUUUUUUUCUUUAUACAUUCUUUUUGAGGAGCUGGAAUAAUUUACCGCCAGAAAUAUUCAGAUGCUGGUUCUAUUCUUAAGCCUCUUAAAUAGACUUUUUCUUCACAUAUGUGGUUAAUUUUAAGUUAUGGUAUAACUGCUUUUACAGGCUAAAUGCUUGGGAUAAACUGUCUGUUGUCUUUACCACCCAUUCUUAUUAGUGAAUAAACUGUGUCUUUUGUU